CGACGAGAGGCGCCUCAGCCACCGCCAAGCCACGGCCCCGCCCAGGCCGGAAGUGACGCCCCCAACCCGCGCCGCCUUCUCUUCCCCUUCCGCUGCCUUCGCUUCCUCUUCCAAGAUGGCGCCCUGGCAACCGUUGCUACGGAGGGCCUAGCUCUCCCCAGCCGCCUCAGAGGAAGCCUUUGGCAGGGAAUUGAAAGUGAAAGCCCAGUUAUGUUUCUAAAUGAAAGGAGCAGUUUGUGGUUGAAGAGAGUAAAAAAGAAAGCCAUUGAAGCCAAGAAUCAAGAAGGAAGGCAAGGAAGGCCGACGGCUUCUUAACGGAACUACAACUCCCAUUGACUGAUUGCAUGUCAGUUAAAGUGUUGUCGAACUGCAUUCAAUUAGAUUCCGUUCCCGCUACCAUCCACUGCCAGCUUUAUUUAUUUUUAAUUAAGGUUUUUACAGAAUGAAUGUAAACACAAGGGGCAUAUGCAUAAUUCAUGGGUGCAGAACAAUGAAAAGCUCAAUACGGCCUCCUCCUCUACUUACCUUCCAAGGCGUUUCAAAGCAUUGUGCGGAGUCAAACUGACUUCAGAGGUGAGAAGGGAUUAAACAAAGUGUGGCACCAGACUGACUUUGCUCCUGCUUUCAUCGCCUGGCUUCAUUUGGAAGAUUGAUAGGACGAAAGGUUUCAGAAGCGUGUUUGAGGUGGACUUAAAUCAGCUGCACGGCAAUGGGAGGUUUCCUUUAGCAAUCAAAGGACCGAUCUUUAAAGUGAGUUUGUAAACGGAAAGACCACAGGUGAGUCACUGCAUUUGGGAGAAAGGCCAAACAAGCACUGCUGCAAAGGAAGGAAGGAUUGGCCCUCCAGGUAGGAAUUCCUACCGGCUGUUAGGAAUUGUGGGAGUUGAAGUCCAAAACACCUGGAGGGCCAAAGUUUGCCCAUGCCUGAUUUAUACUGUAGAAUUAAUGCGGUUUGACAUCAUGGCACAAUGCUAUAGGGCCCUAGGAGCUGUUGUUUUACAAGGCCUUGAGCCUUCCCUGCCCACCAAACUACCCUGUUUCCCUGAAAAUAAGACAUCCCCCCAAAAUAAGACCUAGCAGAGGUUUUGCUGAAUUGCUAAAUAUAAGGCCUCCCCCGAAAGUAAGACCUAGCAAAGUUUUUGUUUGGAAGCAUGCUCGGCGCCCACCAAACAAAACACCAGAACAUGCAGGAUUGGUAAAUGUACAUACAAGUUGUACAUGGAAAUAAUGGUAAUACAGUAGAGUCUCACUUAUCCAAGCUAAACGGGCUUGCAGAAGCUUGGAUAAGCGAAUAUAUUGGAUAAUAAGGAGGGAUUAAGGAAAAGCCUAUUCAACAUCAGAUUAGGUUAUGAUUUUACAAAUUAAGCACCAAAACUUUGUUAUACAACAAAUUUGACAGAAAAAGUAGUUCAAUACGCAGUAAUGUUAUAUUGUAAUUACUGUAUUUACGAAUUUAGCACCAAAAUAUCACGAUAUAUUGAAAACAUUGACUACAAAAAUGGCUUGGAUUAUCCAGAGGCUUGGAUAAGCGAGGCUUGGAUAAGCGAGACUCUACUGUAACAAUAAAUUCUUGACAGGAGUCACAGUUUGUCUGGUUUGGUUAUGUUGCUUUGUGAUGAAAACUAUUGUACAGUAUAUAAUAAAUGUUCAUUUUUUUGUUCAA